rnacentral:misc_RNA from 1 species
GUACACUCUUAUCACAAUAACAAUAUAUAAUAUGCACGAUGUGCCUUGGAUGAUUCGAAGCUUAUAAAUUGAAAAUUAUUCUCACUCGACCACUCCUCUCACUUUAGUCCCAACGGAAUUAGUGUGAUAGAUUCUAACACAUCUCAGUCUUUUGGUUAACUUAGCAAUUUCAUGGAUUGAAUAAGGUUUCUUCCCCUUGUUUGUAAUUUACAUCACAUCAUCAGUUACUAAACUAUUGAAGUGUAAUUGUUAGCAGGUUGGUGACGUUAUACUUGUU